rnacentral:rRNA from 1 species
UACUAGAGUAGCACUCGCAUAUCAAUAAGCGGAGGAAAAGAAACUAACAAGGAUUCCCCUAGUAACGGCGAGUGGAGCGGGAAGAGCUCAAAUUUGAAAUCUUAAAGGGUUUCCCUUUACGAAUUGUAGUUUAAAGAAGUGUUUUCUGUUGAGGUUUUGGUAAAAGUUCUUUGGAAUAGGACAUCAUAGAGGGUGAGAAUCCCGUAUUUGACCUUUACUUUCAACUUUGUGAUACACUUUCGAAGAGUCGGAUUGUUUGGGAAUGCAGUCCAAAAUGGGUGGUAAAUUUCAUCUAAAGCUAAAUAUUGGCGAGAGACCGAUAGCGAACAAGUACCGUGAGGGAAAGAUGAAAAGAACUUUGAAAAGAGAGUUAAACAGUACGUGAAAUUGUCAAAAGGGAAGCGUUUGACACCAGUGUUGUUUUUCUGAAAAUCAAUUAAAGAACUGUUUAUGCUAAGUUGUUUAGACUUUAUCAGCUAACUGUUUAGUUUUGAGCUUUUCUUUAAUGCACUUUUCAGUUAACAAGUCAACAUCAAUUUCUUUUGCUGUAAAAAAGCUUGAGGAAGGUGGCUUGAGAUUCGUCUUAAGUGUUUAUAGCCUCUUGCCUAUGCAGUCGGAGAGAUUGAGGUCUGCAGCGUAGAUCCUUCGGGGCUAAAUGCAUUUGUGCUAAGUUAUAGCAUUUUAUAGACAACUUGUUGACUAUGAUUUGUCUUGUAGCUUACUCGCUUAUGUUAUUUUACCUACGCUUAGGAUGUUGAGCGCAUGUCUCUCUCU